GACGAACGCUGGCGGCGUGCUUAACACAUGCAAGUCGAGCGGGAAACUUCGGUUUCCAGCGGCGGACGGGUGAGUAACACGUGGGCAACCUGCCUCACAAUGAGGGAUAGCCUUCCGAAAGGAAGAUUAAUACCUCAUAACACAAGAGAAACGCAUGUUUCUCUUGCCAAAGAAUUUCGUUGUGAGAUGGGCCCGCGGCGCAUUAGCUUGUUGGUGAGGUAACGGCUCACCAAGGCUUCGAUGCGUAGCCGACCUGAGAGGGUGAUCGGCCACAUUGGAACUGAGACACGGUCCAGACUCCUACGGGAGGCAGCAGUGGGGAAUAUUGCACAAUGGAGGAAACUCUGAUGCAGCAACGCCGCGUGAGUGAUGAAGGUCUUCGGAUUGUAAAGCUCUGUCUUCUGGGACGAUAAUGACGUA
rnacentral:rRNA from 1 species